UACGUAGGGACCAAGCGUUGUUCGGAUUUACUGGGCGUAAAGGGCGCGUAGGCGGCGUGACAAGUCACUUGUGAAAUCUCCGGGCUUAACUCGGAACGGCCAAGUGAAACUGUCAUGCUAGAGUGCAGAAGGGGCAAUCGGAAUUCUUGGUGUAGCGGUGAAAUGCGUAGAUAUCAAGAGGAACACCUGAGGUGAAGACGGGUUGCUGGGCUGACACUGACGCUGAUGCGCGAAGGCCAGGGGAGCAAACGGG
rnacentral:rRNA from 1 species